rnacentral:lncRNA from 1 species
UGGCUCCCAAGCUGAGAACCGGGAGCCGGAGGAAAUCAUAGCGAAAUCUCAACCUGAUGUAGCCCCAUCAGCAUCACACACACACUCAGAGCAAAAUGGCCUGCUCUUCAAUGUAGCUUAGUUUAGUUCAAUUGUCCUGCCCACCCCCUCCUGACCCUCCUGCCGCUGAGGGGUGGUAUUUGAAAGAACAGCUUCUUUCCUCUCUUCUCCUUGGGACAGCAACAGCACAGAGAGUGGGCCACCAUCUCUUACUGCCCACUCAACCGUUGCUGGGGACUGAUUCUUUCAGCUCUACAUAGAAUUCAAGAGCUAUAUUUGGAUCUGCUUCAGAGCAGUAAUCCCCACAGCCUUAAAACAUGCAAAAUAAAAAUAAAUUAAUCAUCCAUUAGCA